rnacentral:rRNA from 1 species
UACGGGGGGAGCAAGCGUUGUUCGGAUUUACUGGGCGUAAAGGGCGCGUAGGCGGCCUCUGCAAGUCGACUGUGAAAUCUCCGGGCUUAACCCGGAACGGUCAGCCGAUCCUGCAGGGCUAGAGUGCAGAAGGGGCAACCGGAAUUCUCGGUGUAGCGGUGAAAUGCGUAGAUAUCGAGAGGAACACCUGCGGCGAAGGCGGGUUGCUGGGCUGACACUGACGCUGAGGCGCGAAAGCUAGGGGAGCGAACAGG